GGCCACAGCUAUAUUACUCUGCAGCCCAAGACUGGUUACUCACUGAAGUUAAGCAAGGCUGAGCCUGGUCACUACCUUGAUGGAAGACCUCAUGGGAAAACUAGAUUGCUGUUGGAA
ensembl:rRNA 5S_rRNA 5S ribosomal RNA